rnacentral:lncRNA from 1 species
ACAUUUUUAUAAUAGCUUGGUUUCAGUUAAGUUUGAACUUCACUACAUUUGAAACAACUGGGCUGAAAUUUCCCAUGUAGGAGAUUGAUGUCUCUGCCUCGCAUCCUUCUUUUUCCCUUCCGUUGAGAAAGGAAGAAGGAUAAUUAAUCAGGUUUUCAGGGAAAAAUUAGGGAGACUUUAUUCUCAUAUACAAAAUAAAAAACCUGGAGGGGAUAUUAGAAAGAAUUCAUAAUCCCCACCUAAUUUUGAUGAAAGACAUGGGUUUUGACCAGCAGUUGGGUGGGGAUCCCUCUGAUGUCAGGAAUGUGUGCUUGCUUAUUUCUGUGAAAAUUUCCCCACGUUUACUCAAGUUAUGAGCCUCAGAAGGACUCGCUUUGCACAAAGAUGUUAGAAAUGCAUAUUCCCUGAAGGAUGGCUUUGUAUUCUCAAACCCAGGAGUGAAAUGCAAUCUUCUCUCCUACCAGAACUGUUGGAGUACAUAGUCUGGCCUUGCUGUCUCAGGUCACAGGAGAUGAACAGCACUGCUGCAUCUGCUCUGUUUUCAGUGUUCAUCUGACAGAGCAUGGGAGAAGACUGCUGAGACUGGCUGGAAGGCAGAAGACAAGAUGUGAAGUAAAGCUUGGAACAAAGAAGGAAAAUACAUUCACAGCAUCUCUGAGAAAGAAGAAGUAUGAAAACUGUCUUCUGCUGUUUUAGGCUAAUGAGGAAUGCUCAGACAUUUAAAGAAAGAUUGUAAGAAAUACUAUUUAGCUUCUAUAAGCACACAUACAACACAGUAUGAGUAGCUGUAAUUUUUUGUUUACAUCACAUUCUAUUUAACUAUUCUCAAGACUAUGAGACUUUUUUUGUUUGUUUGUUUUUCUAUCUUGUUUCUAUGAAUGAAUUUUGUACUGAUUCAUUUAUUCAGAUAAGGGAUUUCUUCAAGUUUCCCUCACUUCCCAUUGAACCACCUGUCUGCCCGCUUUUGAAUCAGAAAACACAUUCCACAAAAUCCUAAGAUUAUUUGUAUUUUGUCUACAGCAGGGAUAACUUAAUUAGUUUCUUACAUCAUAUUAACCAUGUAAGACACAGAGUAUGGUUUCUCAGCCAGAAACUGUGUCUCAGAAGCCUUCAGUUUCCAGGCUGUCCAAACAAUUCUCCAACAACCUUUUAACCAUAAUUCCAGUAUUUUUCUCUUUUCUUUCACUAGCGUGAAGCUAUCACUACAAUCUACUUAGACAUUAAGAAUGCCAGGAAAUUAUCCCUACUAUUGGAGGAACCAUAGUCUUCUCCACAGAGCCCUUGGGGAGCAUUUUCUCAGAUUUCAUAGGAUCUAAGAAGUUAAAGUCUGGUGCUAAUUCUGGAAGUGCAUACCCUGAAGAGAUGUCAUUUUCUAAGCUCCAGUUUGCAAACCUGUUAUUUGAAUUGACUAAUUCCCUGCUAAAGCAUAUCAUGGGUCAAUGAUUAGAGAAAAACAUAGUCUGAUUAGCAGGCUAACAUAAUAGAAGACAAAUAACUCAGUGAAUUCUGGAAUUAAAGAAACACGGUUGGCAUCUUGUGGUACCUUUGUUGUCUAAUAAUGACACCAAAGAACUGAAGCUUUUCCUCUUAAAUGUUUUCAAGCUUUCUGAACAGGUUACUUGGGGACAAUGAAGGACUAAGCUAACUUUGCCAUCUCAGAGCAAGGUAUCUCAGGUCCCUCAGGGGUCAGUACUGG